CAUAAAUAAUAUUAAAUGGAAUUCUCCAAGUGAACUAGAAAAAGGGCUUUCGACUCGUUAAGUAGAUGAGUUUCUCACUUGAGCAACGUAGAUGAGAGUUCGAAUUGCCCCUAUUAAUAGGAGUUAUAGGAGUUUUCGACCCCCAACAAUAUGGUAUCGCUUUUGCUUUACCUUAUUAUUAUAGAAUUUAUGCAGAUACGCAAGCUGUCAUAUGUUAAAUUGUCCUCUCCCUUGACCAAGGUCUUUAUUGAUCUUCCUCAAUUCCUUCCAUAGGCAUGUCCAACUCGUAGGCUUGGGCCUCGUCAAGCAAUGAAUCUUAUCCAGCCUCAGAAAGAGGUCACAGUUAAAGUGCCCAAUAGCUGUACGAAAUGUGGCCCAAUUCCCUAUGAUAUCUUCCUUACCAUUGACUCGCUGUUAGAUAAAAAUGCAUCGAGCAAAUGUUUGUUGUUAAUCAUUUUGUGAAGAUCCGGAACAUGUGCAAAGUCAGUGCAAUCAUUCUAAACGUGUUGCUCUUCGCAGUGUUUCCAUAUCUUGCCACAAAUGUUGAUUUCAGAUAUUUGUUGAUCCUCUUGCCCAAUUGACUUCUUUAGGUUCUCCUUUAUGGUCUUGGAUGAAGCGAGUUCGUUAGUUUGUCUAUUUGUAGAAUUCAUUCUUGGCUCACAGUUCCUCGAUGAGCAAUUCAUUACUUUUACUUUUAGUUUUUCUAUGUCUUUGCUUUCAAACUUAUCUGGACUCUACACGCUCAAAAAUAGAAUGAAAUAUGGAAAUAUAUUGACGGCUCAGUCCGCCGAAAUUUCCAAAACUGAUAAGCUAUAAGAAGUAGGUCAGGAACUAAAACAUCCAAGUCAUGGACCAGCUCUUAAGUGAGCUUCGUUGAAGGUUUCUUAACUUUGGCUGGAUUUCGAUAUCAUCUCAAUUCGGGACCAACAUUAAAGAAACUUAUACAAUACGGACUUGAAUAUGGUAUCGAUAUUCAAAUUGGAGCUUAAACCAACUCAACCCGAACCGAAGCAUACUUUUCUCAAAAGUAGUUGGGUUUCAGCCAGGAAAGUCAGAAAAUCCCCGAACCAAUCAAUUCAAAUCUUCUGCCUUAAUGCUACAUAAAUUACAUGAUUUUUCUAUAAUAAUAGACUCCGUUUCGAUGCAACCCUGCAACCCUGUUGAGUGUGAGGUUAUGUUUUGUGUAAAAGACCACUCAACAAUUGGAUUUUCCAGUUGCCCAUUUUGUGCAAUUAGAUUUUGUGUCUGCGUGUGCUUCAGUUACAAAUGAGAUGUUUCAUUAAAACAAUUUUCAAGUAGUUUGUUGCAAUUCCUCGAAGCCAGCCGCACAAGACUCAAUUCAACAAAUUAUAACAAACGCGGCUAUUCAUUUUCAAUUUUACGAUCAUUUUCCGUAUUUAAUUUUUUCCUCGUUUUUUUUUUGUUUUCUUUAUUUCUAUUUUGUGGCGUUUUCUGAAUGGGGCAAAUUAUUUGAUGGCGUUAAUUACAGAAAUGCAGUCCAUUUAGAUUAGAGAGCUCCAAACGCAAAUCAAUUGAUGUCGUUUUGGGGCAUGGCAUGUUGUUGAACAGAAUGUGCCCCGAAAUGGGGAGGGGGGCGGGGCGGUGCGGCAAUUUUAAUUGCUGUUCGCAUGGCUUUGCCCGUCCACUUGAAAACAUUUGCAGCAAACAAUUCGAUACGAUACAAGUCGAAGCAAAGCUAUAUAGCCCAUAGCCACUUGGGUUACGCUUGAGAGCCAUAAUCAUAAUUUAAAUGCGGCUGGCAACACUCGAGAGUCAUAAAAAACGAGAUCGUGGAGCGUUGAAUUGCCAGUCGACGAGCCAGAAGGAGGAGCUGGUGUUGCUGGAGCCUGGCCAAAAAUUGAAACUCCAAAUCGAUGCAGAAGGCACGAAGACAGCAGCCAGAUCGGACCCAUCGGGCGUCAAGUGGCAAUUAAAGAUUCAUUUUACUGCCUCGACUCCUCCUCAAAAUUGUAUUUCCAAAUGUCUGCACUUAGCUCUGCACGCCCCGACAUCAUCCACCACAUGCCACAAGCCCUACAUAUAUAUGUAUAUCUAUAUACAUGAACCGGAGCUGCAAAAACCAGCAAGUAAAAUACCUUAAUAACGAUUUGUUGCCUGGUAACAUAUUAUACUUACCAAUCGUACGUAAAGCAUUGAUAUAUGAGCUUUGCACAGAUUUGUGCGAUCUUGUGUUUUUAUAACUAUAAUAAAUCAUUUGCUUCCCCUGAUCGGGCAUCCUCUCUAACUACGAACAUUUCGUUUUUAUUUUCCAGAAAGUUCCGGAACUUGACAUGGACUUUACUUGGGAUGCUAUCUCAGUAGUAUUUCAGUUAAAAUGCUUAAAAUUUGAAUAUAUUUGCUGUUUUCGCUUAGGGAACAAACCCCAGACACGCAGACACUCAAACCAUUUGGAGGGAAUGUUUGGGAACGAGCACGAGAACCUGCUCAGGGCCUUUCCGAAAUGCUGGCGACAUUGAGAAAGUGGGCACUAAAUCAGCUGCGGAGCCGCCGUCUUCGCCGCCUAAUUACAAAUUUGAUGCAGCUGCAGAGGCAGUCGACGAUGCCUUCAACGGACCUUGAAAUAUAUUUCGGACCGGCAUUAAAAUUUGUUCGGGUUCGGCAAAGUGCGGAACAUGUGGCACAGUCGCCCCUCAGGAUGUCCCACGGCAGGGCAUGGCUGUGUGUGCGUGCGUGCGUGUGUGUGCCUGCUUCGAUCAUCCGGACGAAGUGCGACGCAUGGAACCUGUUUCACAGAUUUUGCUUUGUUAAAAGGCCAUUCUAAAAUUAAAGCGUCGAUUGUGUGGGGUAGAGAUCGUGUCAUAUUGGUCUCUAAUAGGACACAAAUAAACAUGAGCAUAAAAAUAAAUAGCAUCGUUGCCUGUUUGUCGCACAUUA